AUAUCUAUAUAUAUAUAUAUAUAUAUAUAUAUAUAUAUAUAUAUAUAUAAUAGUGAUUAGGGGUGGGCGUUCAGGUUCGUUUUCAGGUCUUUUUAGGAUUUCGUGUUCAGUUCAGAUUUUUCAGGAUUUGGUUCGGAUUUGGAUAACCAAUUUAAAUAGGUUUGGUUUAAUUAUUUGGAUAGAGAAUUAAUAAUGAUUUAAGUAUUUUUGGAGUUUUGAGUAUUUUUAACUAUUUAAGAUAUUUACGUUUAAUUAUUUGUAUAUAUUUUCAGCAUUUAUACGAACUUAAAAGUAUCAUAUAUAUUCUGGAUUUUUUUA
rnacentral:lncRNA from 1 species